UGAACGCUAGCGGCAGGCCUAACACAUGCAAGUCGAGGGGCAGCAUAAUCGAAGUUUACUUUGAUGGUGGCGACCGGCGCACGGGUGCGUAACGCGUAUGCAACCUACCUCUUACUGGGGUAUAGCCCGGAGAAAUUCGGAUUAAUCCCCCAUAGUAUUCUAAUUAGGCAUCUAAUUAGAAUUAAAGGUUACGGUAAGAGAUGGGCAUGCGUCCCAUUAGCUAGAUGGUAAGGUAACGGCUUACCAUGGCGACGAUGGGUAGGGGGCCUGAGAGGGUGAUCCCCCCACACUGGUACUGAGACACGGACCAGACUCCUACGGGAGGCAGCAGUGAGGAAUAUUGGUCAAUGGGCGCAAGCCUGAACCGGCCAUGCCGCGUGCAGGAUGACGGUCCUAUGGAUUGUAAACUGCUUUUUGACAGGAAGAAACACUCCCUCGUGAGGAGCUUGACGGUACUGUAAGAAUAAGGAUCGGCUAACUCCGUGCCAGCAG
rnacentral:rRNA from 1 species